UACGUAGGGGGCAAGCGUUGUCCGGAUUUAUUGGGCGUAAAGAGCGUGUAGGCGGCCGCACAGGUCCGUUGUGAAAACUGGAGGCUUAACCUUCAGACGUCGAUGGAAACCGUGCGGCUAGAGUCCGGAAGAGGGGAAUGGAAUUCCUGGUGUAGCGGUGAAAUGCGCAGAUAUCAGGAAGAACACCCGUGGCUAAGGCGGUUCUCUAGUACGGUACUGACGCUGAGACGCGAAAGCGUGGGGAGCGAACAGG
rnacentral:rRNA from 1 species